ensembl:lncRNA
CUCAGUAGUGGGCACUGGUCUCCCAUGGCCAGUGGGCCCUUCCCGGCAGCCAACACAGGGCAAUUGGCCCUCUUGUGGUGUGACAGGAGGACCCUAUUCACUCCUUGCAGAGGACUGAUGUAGCACCAGGGUUGUCCAGGUGCCAUCUGAUAUACAUGGCUCAGCAAUACAAAGUCUUGCUUGAGUCUGAAACAGAGAAAGUUAUUCCUACACAGCAUGACAAGUCCAGCACAGGCUUCUGGACUCUUUAUUUCAAGUGGAAACCAGAGAAAGAGCUUCAAGUCUGCAGUGAAAAUGGCAAUGCUGCUGGAGACACAGAUUUUGUGUCUCUGAGACCGAUGAAGAUCCAUUCCAAGAGAGCUUUCCCCACAGGCAGGGAUGAGGUGUGACGUAAGUGUGACAGAGGCCCCUGUUCCCAUCAGCUUUUCAGAAACAUUCCCCAGAAGUUUGAUCCUGCUUGGCAGCAGCUUCUUGCUGGCUGUGGUGCUGAACAUAGCGAGGACUCCCCAUUAGUGAGCUGUUUUUCAUCUUAGUGGCACUUCCCAAAGCACUAUAUCAUGAAUCAGGCUGGAAAUGGCUUUCAAAUGUUCCUUUGCCCAAGCAGGCAAUGCAGGGUCAGAGAGGCUGCUGUGGGUGAAUAGGUGACAGUGCGUGAGGGCUUUGUGUCUGAUAUGGAAGGCUCAGAUCAUCCUCCUGUGGCUGCAGUGGUCCCUGUAAAGGGUGGGGCAGAGGCCUUCGUGGCUCCUGGGUCCCUUAGUAAUUUUUGUCACAGCCAUGUUGGGGCAAGAAGGAAAUGCCACAGCAAAUGGGAUUGAAAGUGUAAUAACAAAAGUCAUCCUCUCCUCCAUGCCUGAGUCAUGCUGUGCAUGGUGAACUUGAUGAGGUUUAAUCUGUGACUCCCAAUGUUACCUUUGGUUUCACAUCAGAAACUGAGCCCAGGCCCGUGUGAGGAAAAGCCUGGAAAGUGGAGAGAGGGAGUCUAGAUGCUCUCACUAAACUUCCAAAUCCUAACACCAAUAUCCUCAAACUUUGGUUUAUAUCCC